rnacentral:misc_RNA from 1 species
CUAACCUCCCACCCGUGAAUACCUGACCAACGUUGCUUCGGCGGUGCGCCCCCCCCCCGGGGGUAGCCGCCGGAGACCACACCGAACCUCCUGUCUUUAGUGUUGUCUGAGCUUGAUAGCAAACCUAUUAAAACUUUCAACAAUGGAUCUCUUGGUUCCGGCAUCGAUGAAGAACGCAGCGAACUGCGAUAAGUAAUGUGAAUUGCAGAAUUCAGUGAAUCAUCGAGUCUUUGAACGCACAUUGCGCCCCCUGGCAUUCCGGGGGGCAUGCCUGUCCGAGCGUCAUUGCUGCCCUUCAAGCCCGGCUUGUGUGUUGGGUCGUCGUCCCCCCCGGGGGACGGGCCCGAAAGGCAGCGGCGGCACCGCGUCCGGUCCUCGAGCGUAUGGGGCUUUGUCACCCGCUCGAUUAGGGCCGGCCGGGCGCCAGCCGGCGUCUCCAACCUUCUAUUUUACCAGGUUG